rfam:Vitrella brassicaformis CCMP3155 genome assembly, contig: scaffold237
GGUCCUGUGGCUCAGUUGGCUAGAGCAUUCGGCUAAUAACCGAAAGGUCGUCGGUUCGAGCCCGACCAGGACCU